rnacentral:rRNA from 1 species
GAUGAACGCUGGCGGCGUGCCUAACACAUGCAAGUCGAACGGAGAUUACGGACGGAAGUUUUCGGAUGGAAGCCUGUAAUUCUUAGUGGCGGACGGGUGAGUAACGCGUGGGCAACCUGCCCUAUACAGGGGGAUAGCAGCUGGAAACGGCUGGUAAGACCGCAUAAGUCGGUUAAAUCGCAUGAUUUGAUCGGGAAAUGAGCAAUCAGGUAUAGGAUGGGCCCGCGUCCGAUUAGCCAGUUGGCAGGGUAAAAGCCUACCAAAGCGACGAUCGGUAGCCGGACUGAGAGGUCGGACGGCCACAUUGGGGCUGAGACACGGCCCAAACUCCUACGGGAGGCAGCAGUGGGGGAUAUUGCACAAUGGAGGAAACUCUGAUGCAGCGACGCCGCGUGAGUGAAGAAGUAUUUCGGUAUGUAAAGCUCUAUCAGCAGGGAAGAUGAUGACGGUACCUGACUAAGAAGCCCGG